rnacentral:rRNA from 1 species
UACGAAGGGGGCUAGCGUUGCUCGGAAUCACUGGGCGUAAAGGGCGCGUAGGCGGGUGCUCAAGUCCGGGGUGAAAUCCUCCAGCUCAACUGGAGAACUGCCUCGGAUACUGGGUGCCUCGAGGGUGGUAGGGGUAUGCGGAACUAUCGGUGGAGCGGUGAAAUGCGUUGAUAUCGGGAGGAACACCAAUGGCGAAGGCGGGUCUCUGGACAGUUCCUGACGCUGAGGCACGAAGGCCAGGGGAGCAAACGGG